rnacentral:rRNA from 1 species
CCGGGGCUCAACCUCGGAAUAGCAUUUGAAACAGGCAGACUAGAGUACUGUAGAGGGGGGUAGAAUUUCAGGUGUAGCGGUGAAAUGCGUAGAGAUCUGAAGGAAUACCGGUGGCGAAGGCGGCCCCCUGGACAGAUACUGACACUCAGAUGCGAAAGCGUGGGGAGCAAACAGGAUUAGAUACCCUGGUAGUCCACGCCGUAAACGAUGUCUACUUGGAGAUUGUGGCCUUGAGCCGUGGCUUUCGGAGCUAACGCGUUAAGUAGACCGCCUGGGGAGUACGGUCGCAAGAUUAAAACUCAAAUGAAUUGACGGGGGCCCGCACAAGCGGUGGAGCAUGUGGUUUAAUUCGAUGCAACGCGAAGAACCUUACCUACUCUUGACAUCCAGAGAACUUUCCAGAGAUGGAUUGGUGCCUUCGGGAACUCUGAGACAGGUGCUGCAUGGCUGUCGUCAGCUCGUGUUGUGAAAUGUUGGGUUAAGUCCCGCAACGAGCGCAACCCUUAUCCUUGUUUGCCAGCACUUCGGGUGGGAACUCCAGGGAGACUGCCGGUGAUAAACCGGAGGAAGGUGGGGACGACGUCAAGUCAUCAUGGCCCUUACGAGUAGGGCUACACACGUGCUACAAUGGCGCAUACAGAGGGCGGCCAACUUGCGAGAGUGAGCGAAUCCCAAAAAGUGCGUCGUAGUCCGGAUCGGAGUCUGCAACUCGACUCCGUGAAGUCGGAAUCGCUAGUAAUCGUCGAUAAGGAUGCCACGGUGAAUACGUUCCCGGGCCUUGUACCCCCUUAAGGUCACCCCAUGGGAG